AUUGAACGCUGGCGGCAGGCCUAACACAUGCAAGUCGAGCGGAGCGGCGGACGGGUGAGUAAUGCCUAGGAAUCUGCAAGGUAGUGGGGGAUAACGUACGGAAUCGGGAGCUAUUACCGCAUACUAUCAGAUGAGCCUAGGGGGGAUUAGAUAGCUGGUGGGGUAAAGGCCGACCAAGGCGACGAUCCUGAACUGGUCUGAGAGGAUGAUCAGUCACACUGCAACUGAGACACGGUCCAGAGUCAUGCGGGAGGCAGCAGUGGGGAAGAUUGGAGAAUGGGCGAAAUCCUGCUCCAGCCAUGCCGGGUGGGUGAAGAAGGUCUUCGGAUUGUAAAGCACUUUAAGUUGGGAGGCGUUACUAACAGAAUAAGCACCGGCUAACUUCGGGGCAGCAGCCGCGGUAAUUC
rnacentral:rRNA from 1 species